rnacentral:lncRNA from 1 species
CUCGGAACUGAGCCCAGUUCUAUCCGGAGGCCCCCUUUCUCCUAUUGCAAUGGUUCCUGAUUAAAAUCUACUGUUACAACUUUAUCUAUUGUCCAGCUCUGGUUCUCUUGGACAGUAGCUGAAGGAAAAUCCACUUCUUUCAUUGAAACUUUAUAUCAAUUGGGCUUCGGGAACAGAGGACAGCCACAAAGGGCUAGUGAGAGUCGAGACAUCGGACGUAAGACUGACAGACAAGCUGUGGUAGAGUUGGUCUAAUCAGUCAGACCAAGUGGAGAACCUGAACCUCCACUUUCCAGAACAAACGGAGCUUCAGAAAGACCCUCAACGUCCACUCCCGGGCUCCACCGUCUGCUGGACAUGAGCCUUGAACAAGUUACCUCCUCUCUCUGUUUGCUUUCUUUUCUGUAAAAUGGGUAUAAUGGUGCCUGGAAAUCAUGCUUCACGGCCUAAAGGAGACGACGGACACUUCGUACAAUGCAGGGCUUGCAGGGCUGGGGGCCUGGACCACCCCCAGCCCUGGCCAGUCCAGGUCUCGCUCCUGCACCAGGCACCUCCUGCCUCCUCCUUUGUCUGGCUGUCCCCAGCAACCGUCCCCUGACUUGGCUCUGUUUUCUGCACUCCAGAAUUUUUUUCACCCUUCCCUUCAGUGUCCCAGCAGUCAGAUGAUGGGACAGUGGUGUUUAGACUAUAGAGACAGACGGUUUGAAUCUCAGCUGGGAUCCAUGUGGCCUCUGACAAGUCAUUCAAACUCUGCAAGCCUCCAUGUCUUCCUAUGUAAAAUGGGUCUAACCAUGCCCACGCACGAGAUUUUUGGUGAGAAAGUGAGAAGAGCCACCUGGAUGGAGCAGAAGGAAUGUUCUAGUUCAGUGUGUGUGCUCCAAGAUGGCCUGUGAAUCCCAGCUCUGCUGCCAUCUGUGUGACCUUGGGCGGGUUCCACAGCCUUGUGUGCCUUGGUUUUCUUACCUGUAAAAUGGUUGCACUUGCAGCACGUACCUCCUGAUGUGAUGACUAUAACGAGUUCAUCUGUGUAAAGUGCUCAGCACAGCGCCCAGCAGGUGGUGAGUGCUCUGUAAACGUUCUGAUAAUAACACAAGCAGUUGUCGUGGUCAUUUCAGGAAGGUCUGCACCUACUUCACGGUGAUUGCUGUGGGAUUACGUGGAUAGUCCACAUUAAGAGCCUGGAACACCGCUGACACGUGGAAGUACGCAGGACAUGAGGACUGGAGCUCCAGGAGCCAUCCUGUGACCACAAGGGGAAAAACCCCUGCCAAAGAAGGCGGUAAGGAGGGUCUCCGAGGGGCUUCCCUAACAGUUUUGGACUGCCCUCCGCUGGACUUCUUUUGCAUAAGAGAAACAUCCUUCCCUAUCCUCUUUAAGCCACUUUUAUUUGUGUUAUCCGUUAAUUGCAGCCAAAUCCAGUCUCAAGAAGCUGAGAAGGGAGUAGCCAUACUACAUUACGGAGGUGUCAAGAUCAUAGCAUGUUAAAUAGGAAAAGGCUCUUAGAAGGCACUUUUUCAACCUCUCCGUGUUACGCAGAAGGAAAUUGAGGCCUGUAAAGAGGAGGGCACAUACCCACGUUCAUAGGGAUCACUCAUGUCCAGCUGGGGCCUCAUCCCAGAGCUCUUUCCUGUAGCUGCAUGCUCUGCUCCAGAGCCUUCUCCACACCUCCCUCUACCUUCCUUUCUGCCCACAGAGGUGGGCCUGCUCUCCCCAGUCCCCUGGCUUCUGUUUCCGUUUAGCCAAUGGGCAGCCCAGGCAGGAGAUUGGAGGGAGGGAGGGAGAUUAGGGACUCUAUUCCUUGGGGAUCACUGGGCGCUGGCUGUGCCUCCUUUCCAGGUGGCCCUCUCCACACAACUCUCGCCUCCUGGGCUCUGGGACUCCCCUCUUUAGGCCUGCUGGCACCAGCCCUAGGGUCUGCAAAGUCCCUGUCAUCUCCCUGCCUCUGCUCACUUUGUGUCCUCUGUGAGCAGUAUUUGAAUUAAUACUCCUUGCAAUAUUACCUGGUCCACCAGCUGGCUGACCUGGGGCCACUCCCUCAACUGCUCCUUGUCUCUGUUGUCUGACGCCUCUUCAUGGAGUUGUCAGUAGGUCUAAGAAAUAACCAGCUAAGCGCCCAGCACGGAGCCAGGUGUGGAAUAAAAUCUCCAUGACUUUUACUUCCUUGAGGCCGGCUGAGGCCGGGCUCCCAUUCUGCCCUCGCUGCGAGGACGGAUUGGGGAGGGGAUGACAGCUCCUCCUCCUGGGGGAGAAUUCCCUGUAGCAGGAGUGAAAGCUUUGUCUUGGAGUUUGCCAAGUCAUCAUGGAAGGGACAAUCACAACCCCAGUGUAGUACCUCAAUCCUGGACCAUCCUCAGUAACUGGCCGUCCCAUUGAUUCCUUUGGCGACCACCCAGCUGCUGUGGGUAGUUUCUGCCAUGUCUCCUUCCCUCCCACCUCACAGGUAGGGCUGGGAGCCUGAAAAGGCAUCUCUAUAUUAAAGGGAGUCCUGGGACACUCCCCCUGGUGUCCUGGACUCACUACGCAACGACUUGACUUAUAAGAGCCAAGCAUGCGCAUCUCUUCCCAAUUCCACAUCAGUGAGACGGUAGCUGGAAAUCGGCCGUGGUGGCAGCAUUUACACCAGAGAAAUGCAAUACGCUUCACACCAGGGCUCUUCCCCAGGGGAGCUGGUUCUCCAACACUUACCAGCACCUCACUAGAUACGCCUCUCCAAAGAUCACCAACAUGACCAUAGGCGGGCUUUGGAAACAAUGCUCAGGUGGUGGUUUCUAACUCAGAUGGAAUCACCAUGGAGCCAGUUGAAGAUGGCAUCCUAGGUCCUACCGUAGCAGGUGUACCUCAGCACCCUUUGUCCACAUGCCACAGGCAGCAACAAAAACAGGGAGCACUCUCACCGUAUACCAGUCCCACCGCUGAAAGCUUUCUGCUCUCACCAACAAAUCAAUCACCUCCUUUCAGGAUACACAGCAAAAAAGUGGUCCUCCUGGAGUUCAUCUCAGCGGACAGAGUGUCAUUUUUGUUGGUUUUGAGUGAUCUUGGAAAAUGCGAAGUCAGUUGUUUUGUGUACUGGCCCAGUCCCAAAACUUGUCACAACCGAGCUCUGUGGGAGGAAAGAUAAAUCAGGAUGGGUGCAAGCCCUGGGGCCUUCACCAGAGUGACACAGCAUCACCAUAGCAUCCACCUCUUAGGAGAAUGGCACCUUCCUGAGACCUUCUAGAAAUAGACAUGCUUCCUUCCAUCUGGCAAAGAGGAUAUGUGCCUAGGGAAAUUCUUAGCUCAAGCUAUCAAAGCUAGACAAGCUGAACUAGAUUUUUCUGAAAAGGCAGAACAGAUAGAAGUGGAGUCAGCGUUUUCCUGGGCUGGGCACGUGAAGCCAAGGGCUAGCUGGAAACUAAGGAGAAGCAGAGGCGGGUGUCGCCAGGUCAAACCAGAUGGGAUGUUAUCAAAGAUCCCACUGGUGUGUCCAGAGAAGGAAAUAGAUCUUACAGAGAUCUGAAGGCAGAGGCAAGAGAAGAAACUAGAAUUGGCGCCCAGAAUUCAGAGUGAUACAAAGCAAGAUACGUAGAGCAGGUGGAGAUGAACAGGGAUGUCCCAGGGUCCCUCUGCCUGGUCCUGGUGCACCAUCGGUGCUCUGGGACAGUCACUGAGAACACUUGUCCUGGCUGGGUAUGACUGGGCGGGAAGGUAUCACUAAACACUUGCUGUUCUAUCUUCUCCUAGUUCUUCCCAACUCUCUAGCAAUCCAGGUUUCCUGCUUCCUGCACUGACUCUGCAAGCUCUAUCCAUUCAUUUAUUCCCACCCACCUUCUGUUGAAACUUUCUGGGACGCUAGGAACAUGAGAGAGGAGGGACAGAUGCUAUACUUUCUGCAGGAUCUCCUGGAGUGGCUGGAACAGUGCCUUCUGGCCAGGCUCCCCCGUAAAUACUUGUCAGCUCAGCCUCUAACCCUUGCUGCCCAGCUGGCCCUCCCCAACAUCAUGCAGCCCCCACAAAGCUCAGCCAUCCCAGCUGUGCACCACCCUUCUGCUCCCGUGCCAGCCUCCCGCGCCUGCUCUCUGACUUCAGGCUUCUUCUCUGGCUCCACAUCAGCUCUGGCUCUUCUUUGUACUCCUGGUUAUCCCACCCCAGCAACCCACUCCAGCCUUCCUUUGUCACACUUGCCUGAUGUUGGUGUCACUUGCAGCUUUGUCCUCUUGAGUCCCUCGUAUCCAAGCCCACAUGCAAGGCAGGUGGAGAGGUGCUCCUAAACAUAACCAUGUUGGGCCAGUCCCCUGGCCUGGUUGGCACGGACACCUGUGACCAUGGCCCAAAUGGAAUAGCAGAGCUUUCAUUCCAGUGGCAAAGCUUCAAGGAUAUUACGAGUUCCCUGGCUCUGGGGAUCCCUGUGUUUCUGUGUGACAGCACCCCGGCAUCUCAGCAGAACAAGAUCCUUUCAUCUCAGGACUGUGCAUUCAGCUCUGUCCACUCGACCUUUCUGUCCACAUUCAGCACAGCAAUAAGGCAGCGCCUUCCAGUCUGGGUCCCCAAACACAUCAUUAGCUGGGAAGACACUGGAAGCACUGCAUUCUUCGGGCUGUGCUGUCAACUUUGACUUCAAAGAUAAAUAGCCCCCCCUGCAGGCGGUGAGGCAGAACUGCAGAGUGGGUGGCUGAGAAAACCUGAAAGGACAACAAAGGUGACCCGUCCAGAUGCAGCAGGCAGCAGCCGGGGAGGAGGCAGGAGAAGCUAAACAAUACUUGUAGAGACUUCCACUCCCAGUCAAGAUGGAAUCAGAUUUACCUUCCACCUGAAGCAACUCAAAAACAAGACAGAAUAAUAAAGCAAUGACACUCAAGACAUUGGACAUUGGACAAUGGAGGAUAGUGAUUUCCUGAGCAAAUGGAAACAGCUGAGAUGUCUUCGCCUCACACUGACUUGGGGAUUGAAUCCGAGAGUUGGAGAGUUGCCCCUAAGAAGAGAAAGGAUGCCGGCUUGACUUUUGACCUCCUUAUGAAACACCGCAAUGAAUCCAUCUGCGAACACACACUGGGCUGGUAGAGACAGACGAGCAGAAAGUGUCUCAAAGCGGCUUCCCAGCAGCCCCUGCCACACAGCCGUCUACAUCUGCAUGCACACAAUUCCGACGCGUUCCGACAAAUGAUGUUUACGUUCGGAAUCCAGCUGUCAAGGGAGAACAGCUGCUGUCAGGUGCUUAAGGGCACCUCGAAGGAGUGUUUUCAGAUUUCAAAAAAACGUGUGAGCCCACACUGUUUCAACUGCUUCCCCGUGGAAGUUGCAGACUGAAGCUUCUUUGUUCCUGCUGAAUGACUCAUGAAUGCCCUUUAAAAGAGAACGAAACAGACAUGUUUUGAUGGGGAAAAUACAUAAAGAAUGCAGUGCAUUUUUCCAAACAGCCGUCAGACCAUCUAAUUUAGGCCAAUAAGGGCAAACUCGCCUGCGUUCUCAGGCUGACCUUCCCAGCGAGGGCCUUGUCCUGGCCCUGGGCUCCUGGGUGAGGGCCGCACUGACCAAGGCAGGAAGGGUAAGGCCAGCUUUCCCAAGGUUGUUAGUCUUCCUGGGGUUCCAUUUGAAAAGAGGCUUCCUGUUCUUCUAGAAGGUUGUUUUUCUUCACUGGGUAAAUCAUUUCCAGUAGCAGUGGGAUGUAAUAAUUGUAAGAAGAUAGUGCGUUUAUAUAGCACUUACUGUGUGCUAAACAUGGUCCAUGUGCAGUAAUUCCUUUAAUCCUCAUAGUAUUCCCAAUGAAUCACUGAGGCACAGAGAUAGUAAGUCAGUCACCCAGGGUCACACAGCUAGUAAGUGGCACAGCUGGGGUACAAACCAGGUGGUGUAGCUACAGAGUCUGGGCUGUGUGUGGUGGAAGGAGCACUUCCCGUGGAGUCGGGAAUCCCGGGUUUGAGUCUGGGCUCUACCCUUUACAAUCUGUGCACUCUGAGCCUUGGUUUCCUACUCUGCAAUUUGAGGUUAAAGCCAGCUCGCAUUGUUAGAGGAUUAGCCGUUGGAGUAGGCCCUCAGCUAAGGUAAGCCGCGCCUGAACGCCGGUGAGCACGGCACAUCCUCCAGGGGCCUUACCCCACUCCCUCCGGUUUUGGGAAGCCCUUCUAUUCUGCAGUGCUGGGUGGAGUAGCAGAAAAAGGCAGGCGAGGGUCCAAUGGGCCUUUAGGACACAGUGACUUAUUGAUGUGAGUGGUCUGGAUUGAUACUGGUAGUGCCCCGCCAACACACACACGCAAUAUAAACAGAUGCAUGGGCUCCUAAUACACACACACCAGAUACACGUACACGUGCUCCUAAUAUACACACACUCACACACAUACACAAACACACACAUACACAUACAUGUACUCCUAAUACACACACACACACACUCACACAACAAACAACUAACCAACCGGAACCCACCAGCGCUGAGCUGCAGUGCCCGUUAGCUGCGUAAAGAAACCCCUGGAGGGUUUACUGUUAACAUCAGUCUUGUGGUGAUCCCGCUGCCUUGGCUUGUAACCCCAGGGCCUAGCUCUGGGUCCUGGGAUACACACAUUUCCAGGGAAUGUGGCUGGUUUACAUCAACUCUGGAUCACUUCUCUUCCCAUUGGGGAAAUCCCAUGUUGUUGAUAAAGGGAAGCAACUAUGAAAUCACAGCAGUGAAAGACAUAGGAAGCGCCCUCUGGUGCAGGGCCCUGAUUUCUGGCACGCGCGGAUGUAUGUCAUCCAGGGCCACCUGCACCCUGAUGUUCUUCUUAACAGGAAGGAAAUAUUUUCACCUGGGUGGGGGAGGGGGCGUUACCUGAAAGUGGUUCUCUCCCCGGUAGAAGCUCCUCACUGAUUCUACCUCCUGCAUGGCAUUUUUGGGCACCUCCCUCCACCCCUACCCCCAGGUUGAGAGCUUCUGCCCUUUAGACCUUAACACCCACGGGGGGUUUACCCAGUGAAGCUGCUCUAAAUGGAGCUGCCCAGUUGAGACCAAUGUCCAGGGAUUGCAUGAAAACCCAGGCUCAAGAUUUGCGUCAAGCACCUAUCAGUUACCCCCAACCUCUCUACUUCCUCAGCUUCAGUGCCCACCUCCCAGAUCUUGCCUCAUGCACCCUGGGGUGCGACAGGCCACUGUGAACCCACCGGUUCAAUUGAUCCUGUUCUUGAUGUUUAGACUUUCUAGUUAUAUAAGCCAAUAAAGUCCCCU